GAUGAACGCUGGCGGUAUGCUUAACACAUGCAAGUCGAACGGACUCUUCGGAGUUAGUGGCGGACGGGUGAGUAACGCGUGAGAAUCUGGCUUUGGGUUCGGGACAACCACUGGAAACGGUGGCUAAUACCGGAUGUGCCGAGAGGUAAAAGAGAAAUUUCCUGAAGAUGAGCUCGCGUCUGAUUAGCUAGUUGGUGAGGUAAAGGCUCACCAAGGCAGCGAUCAGUAGCUGGUCUGAGAGGAUGACCAGCCACACUGGGACUGAGACACGGCCCAGACUCCUACGGGAGGCAGCAGUGGGGAAUUUUCCGCAAUGGGCGAAAGCCUGACGGAGCAAUACCGCGUGAGGGAAGAAGGCUCUUGGGUUGUAAACCUCUUUUCUUAGGGAAGAACAAAAUGACGGUACCUAAGGAAUCAGCAUCGGCUAACUCCGUG
rnacentral:rRNA from 1 species